UGUGCCUUUCUUUGUUUACUUGAAAAUUUUUUUGUUUUUUUUUUUUUUGACUCAUCAAAUUCUAUUUUUCAAAUAUUCAUGACUCAUCCUAUUGGAUUGCUAUAAGUAGGAUGAGUCAUGAAUAUUUGAAAAAUAGAAUUUGAUGAGUCAAAAAAAAAAAAAACAAAAAAAUUUUCAAGUAAACAAAGAAAGGCACAUCCCCUUUCUUACCAGAGGAUUCAAUAUAAAUCUUCAUUUAAAUAAUGAAUGAUAUAUCCAAAAAAAUAAUGUUUUAGCUGGAAGAAAUCAGACGCAGGCCCUGCACUUGCUAACAGAUAGCCAGCUUGUGUACCUGUCGUGAACUCCAUGUACUAUUUAUGGGAGAAGGGAAAAUAAUUGUUGGCAACCUCUUACUUUCCUCCACAUGCGGGAAAUCGAUCGUAUAGUGAAGACCGCGGCUUUCAUGCCUAGCCAGGGCGCUGCUCACCACCAGCUUUGCACAACAAAAGAGAUUCCUCAUUUCACCAGCCUCAAGCCCUACCAUUGUUUGCUCCCAUCCUUGCUCAAAUAAGUGCUUUUCCCACUGAGACUCCAGUUCACUGAUUUUUCCCACAGCAGUUUCUAGUCUAGUUGUUGAGCGAACAAUUCCCACAUAUUUCCACAUGAUUGAUUGCAGUUCUUUCCUUACUUUCACUGUUGUCUUCAAUAUGUUGUCUAUUACAUCACUUCCAAGUGAAUUGGGCACAACUGGCCGUGCCCAACAACUUGAAGCACUGAGAUCAAGCCUAGAGCACUUCAUGUGAUCAAUUGAAGGCUGGACUGCUCUUCUUGCAAAAACCAGUGCUUCAAGCAAUGAAUUGCUAGCAAGUCUGUUUGCUCCAUGCAAACCAGUGCAUGCAACCUCACCUGCUACAUAGAGGCCCCGCACAUUUGUCUCCCCCUGAAGCCCAGCACGGACUCCACCACACAUGUAAUGUGCAGCAGGAACCACUGGAAUUGGCUGAUGAGUUAUAUCCAGGCCAUACUGAAGACACUCAGUAGCUAUGUUGGGAAAGUGGGAGAGUAUUUUUUCUCUGGGCCUGUGACUUAUAUCAAGUAGCACAUACUUCUCAUUACGCUUUUUAAGCUGGUCAUCUAUACUUCUUGCCACCACAUCCCUAGGAGCUAACUCAGCCCUCUCAUCAUACAUGGGCAUAAACCUUUCCAUGCUUAAAUUAUAGAGGAUGCCCCCAUCACCCCUGACGGCCUCAGUGAUAAGAAAUGCAUUUUCUCGAGCUUUGUUUGGUUUGACAGGAAGGCCUUCAUCAGCUAAGGCAGUUGGAUGGAACUGCACAAAUUCCAUGUUUGACACCACAGCUUGAGCUCUGUGAGCCAUUGCAAUGCCAUCUCCAGUGGCCACCGGAGGAUUUGUGGUAGAUGGAUAGAUAUGCCCAGCCCCACCUGAUGCAAGUAAAGUCACCUUUGAAAUGAAACGAAUAACCUCUUGUGUUUCAGUAUUCAUUGUGUCAACGCCAUGGCAAACUGUGUCAGGACCAUCCUGAGAAGUCAGUAAAUCUAUUGCAAAGUGGUGUUCAAACAUGGAUAUAUUAGGAUCAUUAACAACUGCCUCCAGCAGCGCUCGCUCAAUCUCCCUCCCAGUCAUAUCGGCAGCAUGAACA
rnacentral:misc_RNA from 1 species